rnacentral:lncRNA from 1 species
UAGUCAGCUCUCAAGGACCUAGAGGUGCCCCUUGCUCACUCUAGAGGUGCCCCUCAUUCACUCACUGAUUCUGGAGUGUGCUGGCUCUGACUCUGGUUCCAUAGGUGGAGUGGAGGAGGGUAGAUCAGCUUGCAUUUUGGUGGGAGCUUUUUCACCCCCUUAUAGUGUGGAAAUGCCCACAUCCCACAUACCUUCAAUGCUGUGCCCUACUGUAGAGACCCUUCAUUCUUAUGAAUUUUUUUGGUCUUUUGGUCUUUUUAUGUGUGUUUUUUUUGGUCUUUUGAGGUAGUCUAUACCAGUGGAUGCUGAGGAGAGGACAAGACUUGCAUCUAGACUGCCGCCAUAUUUACCUGGAAGUUCCCUGGGAAUUUUUAUAUGGCUGCACAAGAAAGAAGUUUACCGAAAGAGGUGGAGGAGGAAAUGGAAGAAGGAAGAGAAUUUGGAAAUGAAAAUAAAAGAAAAGAAUGUCAAGGACUUUAUUCAGAAAAAUCAAAUGGAUGGAUGAAAGUUCAUGCUGGAAGAUAAGAUGAACAUUAAAAAAAUAAAUUGCCUCAAAACAAAGAAAAGCUAGAGGAA